UGCAGUCUAGUCUAGGGUGACAUUGUUUA
rnacentral:piRNA from 1 species